GUCCGUUUGAAGGUAUAAAUGGUCUGGCCUGCUCACUGAUAAAAUUAUUUAAGAGCCGCGGUAUAUUGACCGUGCAAAGGUAGCAUAAUAAUUAGGGGUUUAAUUGGAACCUAGUAUGAAGGGUUGGACAAAGGAAAAACUGUCUUUAUAGCGAAAGUCGAAUUUUACUUUUAAGUGAGAAGGCUUAAAUGAAUCAAAGGGACGAUAAGACCCUAUAAAGCUUUAUAGAUAACUCAAAUUUGGCUAACUUAAUAAAUAAAAGCUAAAUUUGAUUGUUUUAUUUUGUUGGGGUGAUGUGAGUAUAACUUUUAUUAACUGCUUAAAAAAGAUUCUAUUAUAAGAGAAUUACAAGUGUGCGAUCCUUUUUAAAGAUUAGAAGACUAAGUUACUUUAGGGAUAACAGCGUUAUUUCUCUUGAGAGUUCAUAUCGAAAGAGAAGAUUGCGACCUCGAUGUUGAAUUAAAGUAUCUAUAUAAUGCAACCGUUAUAAAAGAGGGUCUGUUCGACCUUUAAACCUUU
rnacentral:rRNA from 1 species